GCUGCAAAGAAUAACAAAGAUGGAGAUCAUUCGAAUGGAGUUCGGGGUGACCUAAGAUGAAAAAAUUUAAUUAUAGUCAAAAAGGUUGGAAGCAAAGAAAUGGAAGGAUGGUUGAAGACCUACUCAGAGAGUCUCCUUAUAAAGAGCGACUCGACCCUCUGAAGCCAAUGAAACAUGACCUUCUUGACUCGAGACUUCAAGCCAAAAAUUGAAGGGAAUGGAAUAUUAAGAUUGAAGCCCUUGAAGAUCGAUCUCAGUGAUCG
rnacentral:lncRNA from 1 species